rnacentral:antisense_RNA from 1 species
UGAUUGGAAAGUGAUGCCAUUCACAUUGGACAUGUUUAAAUUUGAGAUGCUAGUGGAACAACUAUGUAUAGACACCUACUCGGCAAUCCUGCAUAUGAUCUCAACAUCAGAAGAGAGAUGUGGGCUGAUGACACAGAACUGAGAAUGGCCAGCGUUGCCACUGGGAGUAACCAUCACACACGUGGCAAAAAAGGCCAUUGGCGCAGAUGUAAUCACCCAGGCGGGAUGUGUAAAAUGGAAAGAGAAGGCAACCUAGAAGCAGGAUUCAACGUAUCAGAUACAGUAAUGAAGAUAAUAAGAAACUGGAUUGAUCCAGGUCUGGAGUUUUGCCACAGAAGUGAAAUGGAACAACGAUAUGCAGGAGAAGUGAGGAUACUGAAUUCUACUUGAAAAUUAUACAGAAACAAUUUCUUAGAAUGCUCACAAAAGACCUGAAAACAUGAGGAGGAUGCAGGGCAUUUACAGCAGGUCUUCUCUGACACUGUGCUGGUGGGCAGGGAGCCACCUCAUUACUACCAGGAACAG